ensembl:snRNA U6 U6 spliceosomal RNA
GUGCUCGUCACUUCAGCAGCAUGCGGGCUACAGCUGGAACAACACAGAGGAACCAGCACGGCCCCUGCGCGAGGAUGACGUGCAAAUUCAUGGUGUGCUCCCUGUUUAA